AUUGAACGCUGGCGGCAGGCUUAACACAUGCAAGUCGAGCGGGGUGAUGGUGCUUGCACUAUCACUUAGCGGCGGACGGGUGAGUAAUGCUUAGGAAUCUGCCUAUUAGUGGGGGACAACAUCUCGAAAGGGAUGCUAAUACCGCAUACGUCCUACGGGAGAAGGCAGGGGAUCACUUGUGACCUUGCGCUAAUAGAUGAGCCUAAGUCGGAUUAGCUGGUUGGUGGGGUAAAGGCCUACCAAGGCGACGAUCUGUAGCGGGUCUGAGAGGAUGAUCCGCCACACUGGGACGGAGACACGGCCCAGACUCCUACGGGGGGCAGCAGUGGGGAAUAUUGGACAAUGGGGGGAACCCUGAUCCAGCCAUGCCGCGUGUGUGAAGAAGGCCUUAUGGUUGUAAAGCACUUUAAGCGAGGAGGAGGCUCUUUUGGUUAAUACCCAAGAUGAGUGGACGUUACUCGCAGAAUAAGCACCGGCUAACUCUGUGCCAGCAGCCGCAGUAA
rnacentral:rRNA from 1 species